GACGAACGCUGGCGGCGUGCCUAAUACAUGCAAGUUGAGCGCUGAAGGUUGGUACUUGUACCAACUGGAUGAGCAGCGAACGGGUGAGUAACGCGUGGGGAAUCUGCCUUUGAGCGGGGGACAACAUUUGGAAACGAAUGCUAAUACCGCAUAAAAACUUUAAACACAAGUUUUAAGUUUGAAAGAUGCAAUUGCAUCACUCAAAGAUGAUCCCGCGUUGUAUUAGCUAGUUGGUGAGGUAAAGGCUCACCAAGGCGAUGAUACAUAGCCGACCUGAGAGGGUGAUCGGCCACAUUGGGACUGAGACACGGCCCAAACUCCUACGGGAGGCAGCAGUAGGGAAUCUUCGGCAAUGGACGAAAGUCUGACCGAGCAACGCCGCGUGAGUGAAGAAGGUUUUCGGAUCGUAAAACUCUGUUGGCAGAGAAGAACGUUGGUGAGAGUGGAAAGCUCAUCAAGUGACGGUAACUACCCAGAAAGGGACGGCUAACUACGUG
rnacentral:rRNA from 1 species